UGGUGUUACUGCGAAGGGGGGACGGAGAAGGCUAUGUUGGCCGGGCGACGGUUGUCCCGGUUUAAGCGUGUAGGCUGGUUUUCCAGGCAAAUCCGGAAAAUCAAGGCUGAGGCGUGAUGACGAGGCACUACGGUGCUGAAGCAACAAAUGCCCUGCUUCCAGGAAAAGCCUCUAAGCAUCAGGUAACAUCAAAUCGUACCCCAAACCGACACAGGUGGUCAGGUAGAGAAUACCAAGGCGCUUGAGAGAACUCGGGUGAAGGAACUAGGCAAAAUGGUGCCGUAACUUCGGGAGAA
rnacentral:rRNA from 1 species